rnacentral:rRNA from 1 species
CUACGGGCGGCUGCAGUAGGGAAUCUUAGACAAUGGGGGAAACCCUGAUCUAGCCAUGCCGCGUGAGUGAUGAAGGCCUUAGGGUUGUAAAGCUCUUUCGCUGGGGAAGAUAAUGACGGUACCCAGUAAAGAAACCCCGGCUAACUCCGUGCCAGCAGCCGCGGUAAUACGGAGGGGGUUAGCGUUGUUCGGAAUUACUGGGCGUAAAGCGCGCGUAGGCGGGCUAUUAAGUCAGGGGUGAAAUCCCGGGGCUCAACCCCGGAACUGCCUUUGAUACUGGUAGUCUUGAGUUCGAGAGAGGUGAGUUGAAUUCCGAGUGUAGAGGUGUAAUUCGUAGAUAUUCGGAGGAACAUCAGUGGCGAAGGCGACUCACUGGCUCGAUACUGACGCUGAGGUGCGAAAGUGUGGGGAGCAAACAGGAUUAGAUACCCCCGUAGUC